AGAGUUUGAUCCUGGCUCAGAACGAACGCUGGCGGCAGGCCUAACACAUGCAAGUCGAACGCCUCAGCAAUGGGGAGUGGCAGACGGGUGAGUAACACGUGGGAACAUGCCCUUUGGUUUGGAAUAACUCAGGGAAACUUGAGCUAAUACCGGAUAAGCCCGAGAGGGGAAAGAUUUAUCGCCGAAGGAUUGGCCCGCGUCCGAUUAGCUAGUUGGUGAGGUAAUGGCUCACCAAGGCGACGAUCGGUAGCUGGUCUGAGAGGAUGAUCAGCCACACUGGGACUGAGACACGGCCCAGACUCCUACGGGAGGCAGCAGUGGGGAAUAUUGGACAAUGGGCGCAAGCCUGAUCCAGCCAUGCCGCGUGAGUGAUGAAGGCCCUAGGGUUGUAAAGCUCUUUCGCCAGGGACGAUAAUGACGGUACCUGGAUAAGAAGCCCCGGCUAACUUCGUGCCAGCAGCCGCGGUAAUACGAAGGGGGCUAGCGUUGUUCGGAAUCACUGGGCGUAAAGCGCACGUAGGCGGAUCUUUAAGUCAGAGGUGAAAUCCCAAGG
rnacentral:rRNA from 1 species